CCAUUUUGAUGAAAAAAUUCGAAGUGGAAGAACUAUAAAAUAGGGAGGAGAAGAAAAUUCAUAGAAAAAGAUUCCUAGCUCGGAUUUUGACGUUCUAUAGCUUGUUUCGAAGAGCUUGACAAGGGCUGCGAUUUGAGGGGUGCACAGAAAGGUGCAGCAGAACCUUAAGGACAUGAAGUUGUGAUUGAGUUGCUGAAGUAAGGAUAUGAAUAGUUAGUAGUGUGUUUUGUAUGAGUGCUCAGUGAAGAUUGUAGAUAGUGCCUAAGAGACGGUGGUCUAGCAGGAUGCUCCAGAUUCCUCCAUCAGCCAAUACACAUAUAUGUAGUUUGAGAGAUUGUGUUUAUGUACUCUAGACUUACUAAGUGUGCAAGAAAUCACGAAGAUAAAUUUAUGUUUAAAUUCUGAAUAUGUGUGGUGAAUAUGGCUGAUGGAAAUGUAUUGAAAUUUUAUAUUGCUUGGUAAAUGUUGUUGAAGUAGUUGAGAUUUUAUGUUCUGGUGAAGAUCAAGAUAUAGCUAAGCAAUAGCUGAUGGUUAUAUUAUCCACUUAUACAGGAAAAGAUAUUUCAUAAUAUUAUUAAAUUACAUGAUUUUGCUAGAAGUGCAUG